rnacentral:rRNA from 1 species
AUUGAACGCUGGCGGCAGGCCUAACACAUGCAAGUCGAGCGGAGCGGCGGACGGGGGAGGAAUGCCUAGGAAUCUGCCUGUUCAUGGGGGAUAACGUCCAGAAACGGGCUCUAAUACCGCAUCCUAUCAGAUGAGCCUAGGUCGGAUUAGCUAGUGGGUGGGGUAAAGGCCUACCAAGGCGACGAUCCGUAACUGGUCUGAGAGGCUGAUCAGUCACCAUGGAACUGAGACACGGUCCAGACUCCUACGGGAGGCAGCAGUGGGGAAUAUUGGACAAUGGGCGAAAGCCUGAUUCAGCCAUGCCGCGUGUGUGAAGAAGGUCUUCGGAUUGUAAAGUACUGUAAGUUGGGAGGCGUUACCAACAGAAUAAGCACCGGCUAACUUCGUGCCAGCAGCCGCGGUAAUAC